rnacentral:rRNA from 1 species
AUGAAGGUUUUGGCGUGGAACUGCAACGGCCUUGGAAACGCCGCAGCAGUACGUGCGUUGGUGGAUGUCCAGCGCAGUUGGGCUCCUGAUGUGAUGUUCUUAUCAGAAACUCAUUUAGAUAGCUCUCCGGCAGAGUGUUUGAGGAAAGAAUUGAAGAUGGACCAAAAGCUUGUGUGCCCUAGUGAUGGGAGAAAAGGUGGACUGUUGAUGUUCUGGAAGAAGGAGAUCAAUAUAUAA